AGUGAACGCAGGCGGUAGGCCUAACACAUGCAAGUCGAACGGCAGCACAGGAGAGCUUGCUCUCUGGGUGGCGAGUGGCGGACGGGUGAGGAAUACAUCGGAAUCUACUUUUUCGUGGGGGAUAACGUAGGGAAACUUACGCUAAUACCGCAUACGACCUACGGGUGAAAGCAGGGGACCUUCGGGCCUUGCGCGAUUGAAUGAGCCGAUGUCGGAUUAGCUAGUUGGCGGGGUAAAGGCCCACCAAGGCGACGAUCCGUGGCUGGUCUGAGAGUAUGAUCAGCCACACUGGAACUGAGACACGGUCCAGACUCCUACGGGAGGCAGCAGUGGGGAAUAUUGGACAAUGGGCGCAAGCCUGAUCCAGCCAUACCGCGUGGGUGAAGAAGGCCUUCGGGUUGUAAAGCCCUUUUGUUGGGAAAGAAAUCCAGCUGGCUAAUACCCGGUUGGGAUGACGGUACCCAAAGAAUAAGCACCGGCUAACUUCGUGCCAGCCGCCGCCGUAA
rnacentral:rRNA from 1 species